CAGGUAUGCAUGGACAUUAGAUUUAGGAUCAGGUGUACCCCCGCAGCACUGCCCGUUACAUUAACGCAAAGCAAAGGAAACAAGUUGCUUACAUUUCACGGUUCACACAACGUGGAUAAAAAAUCAACCCAACCAAAUGAACAUACUAUGACUAUGCAUCUUGAAGGCAGGUACAUCCUGAAACAGUAUCCUCCCACCGCGUCUCCGGCAGAAGGUAGGACCAUAGACGGAUUGAAACAGUAAACAUGCAGACAACCUCAAAAUAUAAACAACGACAUUGUAGUAAACAUGCAGACAACCUCAAAAUAUAAACAACGACAUUGUAUCCGUUAAAAAUAACAUCAUUUCAAAUCUUUCAAAUAGUCCAAAAAAAAUAAACUCCCACCUGAACGUGAGUUUUAUUAAUGUUUUUUUGUUAUAUCCCCAUCCAACGUUCAGAGACGAAGGUAAGUUGAAAGAAAAUACUCCUUCUGUUUCAUAAUUCUUGUCGAAAUAUUACAUAUUCUAGACGCUUUUUAAACAUAAAUACAUCCAUAUUUGGACAAAUUUGAGUUAAGCAUGUGCUAUAUGUAUUCAGGUGUGGCCGAUCGAGGGCAUCAAGAAGUUCGAGACGCUCUCGUACCUGCCGCCGCUGUCCGUGGAGGCCCUGCUGAAGCAGAUCGAGUACCUGAUCCGCUCCAAGUGGGUGCCCUGCUUGGAGUUUAGCAAGGUCGGCUUCGUCUUUCGCGAGCAUGCCAGGUCCCCUGGAUACUACGACGGCAGGUACUGGACCAUGUGGAAGCUGCCCAUGUUCGGAUGCACCGACGCCACACAGGUGCUCAAGGAGCUGGAGGAGGCCAAGAAGGAGUACCCUGACGCUUUCAUCCGGAUUAUCGGUUUUGACAAUGUCAGGCAGGUGCAGUGCAUCAGCUUCAUCGCAUACAAGCCACCCGGCUGCCAGGAGUCCGGCA
rnacentral:lncRNA from 1 species